rnacentral:rRNA from 1 species
UGCGCCUUGCCAGCCCGCUCAGAAACUUAAAUGAAUUGACGGGGGCCCGCACAAGCGGUGGAGUAUGUGGUUUAAUUCGAUGCAACGCGAAGAACCUUACCAGGUCUUGACAUCCCCCGCGAUGCUUUAGAGAUAAAGCGGAGGUAUUCGGGGAGACAGGUGGUGCAUGGUUGUCGUCAGCUCGUGUCGUGAGAUGUUGGGUUAAGUCCCGCAACGAGCGCAACCCUUGUCCUUAGUUACCAGCACGUUAUGGUGGGCACUCUAAGGAGACUGCCGGUGACAAACCGGAGGAAGGUGGGGACGACGUCAAGUCAUCAUGGCCCUUAUGUCCUGGGCUACACACGUGCUACAAUGGCCGGUACAGAGCGCAGCGAGGCCGCGAGGCGGAGCGAAUCGCUUAAAGCCGGUCCCAGUACGGAUUGGAGUCUGCAACCCGACUCCAUGAAGUUGGAAUCGCUAGUAAUCGCGCAUCAGCAUGGCGCGGUGAAUACGUUCCCGGGCCUU